rnacentral:rRNA from 1 species
ACGAACCGUCCGAACGUUAUUCGGAAUAACUGGGCUUAAAGGGUUCGUAGGCGGCUAUGAAGGUGGGGUGUGAAAUCCCUCGGCUCAACCGAGGAACUGCGCUCCAAACCACAUGGCUUGAGGGAGACAGAGGUAAGCGGAACUGAUGGUGGAGCGGUGAAAUGCGUUGAUAUCAUCAGGAACACCGGUGGCGAAGGCGGCUUACUGGGUCUCUUCUGACGCUGAGGAACGAAAGCUAGGGGAGCGAACGGG